CUGGGAUUGAAGUCAUACAGAGCGAUGACCGUCACUUCCGCGGGUGUGGCUGCAGGCUCUUGAGGCUGGGCAGGCCGCGGCCGAACGGACUUCUCCUGUAACCACAGCAGUGGGUUCACGCGUCAGACACACAGGAGAAGAGACAGAGAGGAGGUCAGGACAAGGUCUGCUGUUACCACGAUCGAAGACUCUGUGUACGAACCCCUUUGUCUGGAUCAAAGUCGUAGUAGGAGAUUUUCUCAGAGGUCAAGACAAACCAUCUCUCCUUGUAGUUCAGCGGCGACGUCUUCUUCUUCUGCUGGGAUCGUUUUAUAAAGCUCUCUUCCAGAAUGAUGUCUGACAUCAUUCAGUCAGAAAUGAUCUACAUCGGAAACAGAAAAAAAAACAACAAUUCUCCAAUUGCAACCAUCUCUGGUGGAAGGUUUCUUCCUGAGGUUGGUUCCUAUGAACCCUACCAUGGUUCAUUCAAUCCCGGUGGUUUCCAAAGUGGGGGCCAGGAGACCCUAGAGUGGUAUGUAGUUUCCGAUGGUAGCUGAACGCACCUUUUUCGCAACUUUGGCAUGACAUGUCACAAUCUGUG